rnacentral:rRNA from 1 species
AGAGUUUGAUCCUGGCUCAGAACGAACGCUGGCGGCGUGGAUAAGACAUGCAAGUCGAACGAGAGAAUUGCUAGCUUGCUAAUAAUUCUCUAGUGGCGCACGGGUGAGUAACACGUGAGUAACCUGCCCCCGAGAGCGGGAUAGCCCUGGGAAACUGGGAUUAAUACCGCAUAGUAUCGAAAGAUUAAAGCAGCAAUGCGCUUGGGGAUGGGCUCGCGGCCUAUUAGUUAGUUGGUGAGGUAACGGCUCACCAAGGCGAUGACGGGUAGCCGGUCUGAGAGGAUGUCCGGCCACACUGGAACUGAGACACGGUCCAGACACCUACGGGUGGCAGCAGUCGAGAAUCAUUCACAAUGGGGGAAACCCUGAUGGUGCGACGCCGCGUGGGGGAAUGAAGGUCUUCGGAUUGUAAACCCCUGUCAUGUGGGAGCAAAUUAAAAAGAUAGUACCACAAGAGGAAGAGACGGCUAACUCUGUGCCAGCAGCCGCGGUAAUACAGAGGUCUCAAGCGUUGUUCGGAAUCACUGGGCGUAAAGCGUGCGUAGGCUGUUUCGUAAGUCGUGUGUGAAAGGCGCGGGCUCAACCCGCGGACGGCACAUGAUACUGCGAGACUAGAGUAAUGGAGGGGGAACCGGAAUUCUCGGUGUAGCAGUGAAAUGCGUAGAUAUCGAGAGGAACACUCGUGGCGAAGGCGGGUUCCUGGACAUUAACUGACGCUGAGGCACGAAGGCCAGGGGAGCGAAAGGGAUUAGAUACCCCUGUAGUCCUGGCAGUAAACGGUGCACGCUUGGUGUGCGGGGAAUCGACCCCCUGCGUGCCGGAGCUAACGCGUUAAGCGUGCCGCCUGGGGAGUACGGUCGCAAGAUUAAAACUCAAAGAAAUUGACGGGGACCCGCACAAGCGGUGGAGUAUGUGGCUUAAUUCGAUGCAACGCGAAGAACCUUACCUGGGCUUGACAUGUAAUGAACAACAUGUGAAAGCAUGCGACUCUUCGGAGGCGUUACACAGGUGCUGCAUGGCCGUUGUCAGCUCGUGUCGUGAGAUGUUUGGUUAAGUCCAGCAACGAGCGCAACCCCUGUUGCCAGUUACCAGCACGUGAAGGUGGGGACUCUGGCGAGACUGCCCAGAUCAACUGGGAGGAAGGUGGGGACGACGUCAGGUCAGUAUGGCCCUUAUGCCCAGGGCUGCACACGUACUACAAUGCCCAGUACAGAGGGGGCCGAAGCCGCGAGGCGGAGGAAAUCCUAAAAACUGGGCCCAGUUCGGACUGUAGGCUGCAACCCGCCUACACGAAGCCGGAAUCGCUAGUAAUGGCGCAUCAGCUACGGCGCCGUGAAUACGUUCCCGGGUCUUGCACUCACCGCCCGUCA